UGCCCUCUUCCACCAGACCUGCGAGCUGAGUUUCUGAGGCUGCUUCUCUUCUGUGAUGUGGCCAGUGCGCCCUCCAGGGACACUGAGUGUCUGUCCAGUUCCAGAGAGGGCUGGUCGGCUGUCCCCCUGGGAUGGCGGGUCAUGAGUACCCCAGAGGUCCUGUGUCCCCUUAGCCAUGGGGCCGCCAGCCUGUUCCUCACCCACCCGUCACCCGCAUCCCAGGAACGGCCAGCGACACUCCCUUAGUCACGCGAGCCAGACGUGAAGCCACGCGUCCUGCGGUCUUCCCGGCUCCGCGCCCACGCCCGUCACACCCCGUCCCCCUCUCUGUCCUCACCGCCCUGGAACAAACCUUACUCCCUGGAGAGCAGUCCGGAGUAUGGUGUCAUCGCAGUGACAGGUUGGUGUGUCGCUCUGACAUUACCUGUGCUGCGUGAGUGACACAGGCGGCAGGGUCGCUUGUGUCAUGUGGCCCUGACCCUGUGUACCCCAGAACCGGGUGGCACUUCCCUGCCUGGCCUGAGGCUGACUGUCAGGCACAUAGACACCCUGGAGGCAGGUGUAGAAUCGAACUGCAGUGAAGCAACGUUUUUUCAUAACUGUGUCAGGCGUCCCACCAGAUCGUCCUUGGAAUUUGAUAGAUUUCUUUUUUUUAAUGUUUUUCUCAUUUAUAAUUUUUAAUUAUUUUUAUUUUUGUCUUUUUGCCUUUUUUUUUUAAGGGCUGCACCUGCAGCACAUGGAGGUUCCCAGGGUAGGGGUCUAAUGGGAGCUGUAGCUCCAGCCUACGCCACAGUCACAGCCACAGCAACGCAGGAUCGAGCUGUGUCUGUGACCCACACCACAGCUCAAGGCAAGGCCAGAUCCUUAACCCACUGAGCGAGGCCAGGGAUCGAACCUGAAACCUCAUGGUUCCUAGUCGGAUUCGUCUCUGCUGCGCCACAACGGACGGGAACUCCGCUGGAAUUUGAUAAAUUUCUGAAAUGCAUAGACUCUCAUGGGAAGAGAGUCAGUGACGAGAAUGUCCCAGAACAGGGCUCUCAGGCUGUCCCUGAGCAGGCCCAGCGCACAGCCACAGGAGUGAGUGGUUUCUAGGCGCUCUGCCCAGCUUACCUUGCCAUGGACCACGACAUAGCUCCUGGCCUGGCACAGGCCCAGCCACACCCAGAGGGGCACAGCCGAGACCAUCAAGCUUUUUGCACUGGACAUCUUGAAAGGUUCUGUUUUUCUUUGAAAUUACUCAGACUUAUAGAAAAGUUGCGAAAAUAGAGCAGAGAUUCUCAUUUUCCCAGAUUCCCAAAUAUUAACAUUUACCACACUUGCUUCAUCACUGUUUUUUUCCUGAAAUGUUUGAGAGUGAGUUGCAUACAUGAUGCAUUUUUUCCUCUAAAAUAUUUCCACGUGUGUGUCCUAAAAAAUUCUCUUCCACACGCAUAGCCCAGUGCCAACACCGCCUAGUGCUGGUGCGACACUGUGACCCCACCUCUGGCUUUCCCUGGACAGGGGCUGUCGUUUGGUGAUGCUCUUUCUCUCACAUUGAAUUUUCCUCUCAUCUGUGGCCGUGCUGUGUCUUCUCUGAUGUUGAGUUUUGGUUUGGUUUGUUUUUUGUUUUUCGUCUUUUUGUCUUUUUAGCGUUGUACCCAUGGCAUGAGCUGUAGCCGCCGGCCUCCACCACAGCCACAGCAAUGUGGGAUCCUUAACCCACUGAGCGAGGCCAGGGAUCGAACCUGCAACCUCAUGGCUCCCAGUCGGAUUCGUUAACCACUGAGCCGCGAUGGGAACUCCUGAUGUUUGUUUUUAGUGGGAAACCCAGCGAUGAGGCUGGGUCCUCUCAGUGCCCCAGGGCAGGAACCUGUUGUUUGCUGUUUUGUGCUGAGGCCUCUGUUGGUUAAAUUUUCUGAAAUCCUGUAAAAACUGGGGGACUCCAGAGUUAGCCUAACGAUGGCUGUCUGAUUUGCAAUCAGACAUAUUUUUUUGAGUAGGUAGAAAGGGAGCCUGCUGGUGGGGAGAUUUUUCCAACUCAGGAACUGUGUCUAAUCUGGGCCCAAACAGAGAAGAGUGACAGAAGGCUGGGGGACACGGUGGCCAUCCCCCCGGGGCCCUCGGUCGCUACGGGUGCUGAGGAGGAAGGCAGCUCUGCUGUGCUCCCCUUGCUGAGCGGCGCUCUGGAGCCAGAGCACUGCUCCAGCCUGGCUCAUCCUCCUGUUACAGUUAGGGGCCUGGGAUGCAGCCUCUUUCUGAGGCCAGCGCAGCCUCUGAAGUGGCCCAGUUGCACUUGGUUGUAGGGACUAGUUUGCCCAGUUGGUUAAUUGUUUGAAUUUACUUCGCAUAGCAUAUCACUAAAUUUGGCUCCACUUGGCUGGAGCCUUAUUUGAAUAUGGCUUAUUUCUGCAGAGCUCUAUGCUGGUAGUCGGUGUCGAAGUAUUUGCAGCAAGGCCUGGCUUUGUACAUAAAGAACGGGUCUUCAGAAUCCUUAGAUGUUUGCGAAUCUGGAAAUUCAGAGCUCUAGACCCAAGCCAUCGGUUUGCGUGUGUCAUUAGUAUGAGUUUCCAUUCCAGCAAGAAAAAUGCCUGUCAGAGUGCUCAUGUGCUGCAGCGGGACUAACUCUGAGUCUGACUAGUAUCCAGGAGGAUGCGGGUUCGAUCUCUGGCCCUGCUCAGUGGAUCAGGGAUCCUUCGUUGCCGUGAGCUGUGGUGCAGGUUGCAGACGUGGCUCGGAUCCCGCGUUGCUGUGGCUCUGGCGGAGGCCGGCGGCUGCAGCUCCCUUUGGGCCCGCAGCCUGGGAAUUUCCAUGUGCCGUAGGCGUGGCCCUAAAAAAGAAGAGUGUCUGCAACUCCGAGUCCUGUUAACACUGUUCGUGUUUAUCCAAGUAAGAGAAACUUAGUUUUACCAGGGUUCUUCUGCCUGAGCGUGGAGCCUUUAGUUUUGAUUUUGUGGCUUGAGAUGUGUGCUUGGGACCUGGUCACUUUUUGUUUAGGGGUUUGUUUAGGGGUCAUUUUUUGUGUAGAGGUUUGCAAUUCUGCUUUCCGGCUUUUAUUGUUCAUUUUGAAAUCCCUCCCUUUCCUCCGUUGGUUGGUUCUUUUUCCCAGGGUUCUCAUACACAGACGUGUGUGUUUAUACUGAGCUUUACCAUCAAAGUGCCUUUAAAGAACACCUGGUACAAAGCGGGGUGAGACACGGUCAGCAUGCGCUUUGCUCUUCUGAUCAGUACGUGCCUCUCUGACCUGAGUGCUUCACGGGAACAAGUUGCGGGACCAGCGGAGAGGCCGCCUCGGGAACUGGUGCAGGGAGGGGCCCGCGUGGGCAGACGUAGCGCCGCCCGGGCCUCUUGGUAGUGGGGGCGGGGGCGGAGGGCUGACGCUCACCUGGUUUGAUCUGCUCUUACAAUGAUUUGCUGCUCUUUUUACUUCUGUGAAACAAUCAAAAUUAUCCCCCUAUUUUUUAUUUUUGGCUUAGAAAAGUCAAGCAGUGGCCAUUCGCAUACCCUAAAGGGGAAUGGUAUUUCAGUAGCUGAACUCCAUAGGGAAAUCAAACUGUUUUGAUGUAUUUGCUCUGAAGGUAACCUACAUAGAAAAACCAGUGAAAAUUAUAACAUAGGUACCCACAUAAUCCCAACCCAGGAAGUAAGCCAUUGUUAACCCCACAGCGUAGAAAAUGCACUGGGAACCCCUGACGUGUUACCACCAUUUUGCUAAUUUCUGUAUCCAUCUACCCUUUAAAAAAACCCUCUCUGUUGAAAUGUACUACGUGUACAGAGAAGCACAUGUACCAUUCAUGUAUAAUUCGAUGAAUCUUCACAAACAGGAACUUACCCGUGUAGUCAGAAUCCAGGCUAAAAACCAGAAAGUUUCCGGAAAACCUGCAUAGCUUUUAAAUGUGUUUCAGGCUCAUACUCGUGUGAAAAGAAGUUCACUCUUAGAAGCAAACACAGAUACCGUGUCUUCACCUGUCAGGCGUCAGAGUCCACUGGUGGCCGGAGCUCCCCCAUACUCUGUCGGUCAGGCUGAUGGCAGGUGGCCGUGUGAGCCCUUGUAGCCUGUGCCGGGGAGACGCCUGUGUCUGCAGUUGGAAACGUUGGGAUGUGAAGGACGCGUGUCCUUGAUGUGGUGCCGGUUACGAAGGCCGUGCUCAGCCCAUCUGUGUGGGUGGGCCUGUGGGUGACAGUGAGGAGUGUGCAGGCAGCGGUCCAGCGUGGAGGGUGUGGUCCUGUUUUGUGGGAAGGAGAAACAGACCUGGAGACAGGUAGGUGCCCCAUGGGGAGGGAAGGGCCCCCCUCAUCACAUUCCCUCUUGGGACUCUGCAGUGCUGCUCCUCUGGUCCAGGCUGGGCUUCCUGGGGGCUCUCGGCGAUGGAGCAGACAACGGCAGGGGCCCAGGGUCGGCUCUAGGAAGAGUAAGGGUUGAUGUCUUGCAGUGGGGCUGAAGGUAGUUUGGUUUUUUCAUUUUCAUGGACAUUUGAGUGUUUGGUAAAAGUCUGAGCUAAUCCUCGUGACAGUCUCAGAGGAGGGUGCUGUUCCCUUUCUGUGGAAUGAGGGGCAGGUGCAGAGGUAAUAGCUCUGCAACGUCCAUGGGCUCUUGCGCUGGGUGAUGGAGCCAGUCCAGUGGCCCAGCCUCCCCGGCGAGCAGUGACUGUCGCCUGAGGCAGGGGCUUGGGAGCUGCGUGCAGGAGGGAGAAGAAGGUCGGGAUGGAGGUUGUAUGUGUCGUGCCAGAGUUAAGGCCGGUGGGGUCGUAAUGACCUUUUCUGGGCCUGGAGUCGAUUAUUCAGAUCUCGUGCUAAAGACAAAGAAGUAAUUGCACAGUAUUUAACUGUGGGCUUCUGUGUGUUUUAGUCAUGUGAUUUGCUUAUCUCAGUUUCUUUUUUAAUGUAUGCAACUGGGCACUUUUUCAUUAAUUCAACAAGUGUAGGGAGUUGCUCUUGUGGCUCAUUGGGUUAAGAACCCAGCGGGUAUCCAUGAGGAUGCAGGUUCAAUCCCUCGCCUCGCUCAGUGGGUUAAGGAUCUGGCGUUGCCAUGAGCUGUGGUUGUAGGUCACAGAUGAGGCUUGGGUCUGGUGUUGCUGUGGCUGUGGUGCAGGCCAGCAGCUCCAGUUCAACCCCUAGCCUGGGAACUUGUGUAUGCCGCAGGUGCAGCCCUAAAAAGAAAAAAAAAAGUUUAAAAAAAAACUGAAGAAGCAAAACAAAAACCAAGUGUAUCCUGAGGGCCUUCUCUGUGUCCCAACAACUCUUCUGGUCUCCAGGUUAUAACGUGAACCCUGCCGUGUUCCUGUGGAGCUUGCGUCCUGUUUGGUGACAGCAAGUGAAUGCGCAGUAACAGUCACGUGGCCAGAGUGAGCUGAAGGACAGGCGGCAGGGAGGCCCUUGGAUGGGUGGCUGAGAGGCAGGGUGUAGCUCUGACCUAGAGUGGGCCGAGGGCUCUGGGCCUUGGGAGUGGGGGGAGGUUGCACCCGCAGGACCUCCCUAGAGAAGCGGCUGUGCCUGCGGGCAGGAGAGACAGAGGCCAGCUUUCCCCGAUUUUAUGGGUGUAUUUGGAGACAGGGCUUUUAGGAUUAAUUAAGAUUAAGUGAGGGACGGAGUUCCCGUCGUGGCGCAGUGGUUAAUGAAUCCGACUAGGAACCAUGAAGUGGCGGGUUCGAUCCCUGGCCCCGCUCAGCGGGGUAAGGAUCUGGCGUUGCCAUGAGCUGUGGUGUAGGUUGCAGACGCGGCUCGGAUCCCGCGUUGCUGUGGCUCUGCUGUAGGCUGGCGGCUAUAGCUCCGAUUGGACCCCUAGCCUGGGAACCUCCAUAUGCCGCAGGAACGGCC
rnacentral:lncRNA from 1 species